UGCGGGGCCGCUCCCGGCACGGGGGAUGCGGGGUGCGGCGGGGCGCUGGCUCUGCCCCGGGACCGCGCUUGCUGCUCGAGACAGUUUUCAGCGGAGUGCACUGUACGCGCCCUCUAUAAAAUGGGAGGCACUUGACAGCCCCAGAUAACCGAGGGACUUCACUGGGAGCAAUACUUUAAAAAAAAAAAAAAAUUAAAAAAUUUAAAAAAUGUAUCCUGGCUGACUGUAUCAAUUCCACUGGUUAGGGAAAAGUGCUGCUGCCAGUUCACUGUAGUGUGCUUACAAUGGUUAUAGUGUGCCGUAUAAAAUCAUAUUCUCUCCUUACUGAUGUAUGGUACCUAACCAUGAGACCAAGGAAGAGGCAAAUGCUGUGCUUGGCAAGGCCCUGUCCAGUGCUAAUUGCGUGGACAGAUGAAAAGCCAGCGACACUUCAUGUGGACGGACAGGUCAUCCUGCAGGUCUCCAUUUACAUGCUUUGUUUCGUAGGUAAAGUCAGUGGAAGGGGCUGAGUAUUUCUGGCUCUGCAGGACCAGUCUACAUAUAUAACUGUCUUAAUAGGACCCUAAUGUAACAUACCUGUUUCUUUGUAUGUUUGGGUUGAAAUUUCUGUUCACUUUGGUUCUUACUGACCCAGCCAAUAAGGCAGUAAAAGCAAAGCAAAGAAGGAAGGGGAAAGGAUGGGGGAAGUAUUUUCAAACACACAGCUGUGCACACAUGUUCAGUCUAUGUCUUUAUUCCUAGGAUGUUUUAAUAAAUCCCCUGACUUAACUUGCUAGUCUGUAUGGCUUUAAAAAAGCAAAUUAAGACACCAAUCUGAAGCCCUGAAGGGUAUGACUCAGUGACAUAACAAUAAAUUUUAGUAUCUCCUGCUAAGUAAUUACACCAUAUCAUGUCACAACAAGGUAUUGUUGAAAUACUAUCAUGUAGCUCAUAUAGUGUCAAUUUUUUUAUUAUAAGCCUGUAAAAUAAACAGAAUGCUGUGUUACACACAUGGGCAUAAAAUACUUCAUUAAGGCUGUGAAAAGGAGUGCUGUAGUUUUCUUGCAUGAACAUGCUCAAGAUAAAGUAGGUACGUCCCAGUUUGCGUUCUUUUAUUCUGGGAAUUAGCAGAGGUUAAACAGCUAACUGGAACCCUUAGGUCAGAGGCAGAACUGUUUUGAUGUCAAAUAAUGAGAAAUGCCAAAAUAUUUAGUAGUAGCCAGCAUGCUGCUCCUGGUGAAGUCACUGGUUUUCUUGCUAUUAUCUAGCUCUGGCGUCAGGUGAACCUGUUUUAAUCUGGUAUAGUUUUACUGUCUUCUUGUGAAGUGGAAGAGGAGAGGGAGGAUCAAGAAUGAUGCUUUUGCACUGAUUGUACACCUCUCAGAAUUUUGUUGCCUUCCUGUGUUCUUUUUUGGCAAGUUCAAAUUCUGAAGGGAGCAGAAUCUUACUGAUUUUAGUGGAAAUUGAAAAACCAGAAGGGAGAAGCUGGGAGAAGAGAGAGUCCUUGCCAUCUGGUUAGCAGACCCAGCAGUUUUAACCAGGUCUGGAAGUGUUUCUAGAUCAAAGGACUGGUUGAUGGCAGCCCUUAACAUCUUCCAGCACAACACCUCUUCCAUCUCUGCUCUAACCAUCAUCCCCACAGAAUGCUUCUGUCUCAAAAUGGAAGGAAGAAAAGUGUAUGCAAGAGAGAUGGAAGAGAGGAAGAGAUCUUUAGAGAGGAGACAGUUGACCUGGAAGAGGAACAGGCAUAGCCAUGUGGCACUUUCCAAAGAUCCAAAGAUGCUUUCAGAAGCUUGGGUGUUGGUGCUGGGAGAACACUGCUGCUCAUGUGCAUGUUGAAGAGUUUGUCUGGGAUGUCUGAAUCACAUGGGACUAAGAAGAACAAGAUUAGGAGAACAUGAGGAUGGCUUUUCAGUUUACUCUCCUCUGUCUACAAUAAAGGCAUGCUCUCCUCAGGCUUCUUUGGAUCCCUUAUGAACAGCAAAAUUAUUCCUGUAGUGAGCACCUCUCAAAGGAACUGCUUCAGCAAAACCUCACCAGUAAGGCAUGGCAAAAGCAGAUUCACAUCAGUGAAGAAAUUCCACCUUUGGUAGAAGUUAUUUAGAAAUACCAUCAUAAAAAUCUGCUGUAAAAAUUCGGAACCAUAAUUUCUUAAAUAAAUUAAAGUUUUAUUUACAAAUAAAAUAUUAUCUACAUAAA